rnacentral:ncRNA from 1 species
UGCUGGGGGUGUUCCCUUGUUUUUUGCGGGGAACUGAGAGAUACCCUUUGAACCUGACCCGGUUAGCACCGGCGUAGGGAAGCGAGAU